UGGCCACGAAGCUGUCGGAGCCAUUAGGAGUGAGAGUUUGGAUGAAAAGAGAGGACUUGCAGCCUGUCUUCUCGUUCAAGCUUCGGGGAGCUUACAACAUAAUGGCAAAGCUUCCAAGGGAGCAACUGGAGAGAGGGGUUAUUUGCUUCUAAGUUGGAAACCAUGCCCAAGGAGUUGCCUUGGCUGCUAAGAAGUUGAAUUGCAGUGCUGUGAUUGCAAUGCCUGUAACCACACCAGAAAUUAAGUGGAAAUCUGUUAAGAGAUUGGGCUCCACGGUUGUUCUUAUAGGG